UACAGAGGGGGCAAGCGUUGUUCGGAAUUACUGGGCGUAAAGGGCGCGUAGGCGGCCUGCUAAGUCGAACGUGAAAUCCCCGGGCUCAACCCGGGAACUGCGUCCGAUACUGACAGGCUUGAAUCCGGGAGAGGGAUGUGGAAUUCCAGGUGUGAGCGGUGAAAUGCGUAGAUAUCUGGAGGAACACCGGUGGCGAAGGCGGCAUCCUGGACCGGCAUUGACGCGUGAGGCG
rnacentral:rRNA from 1 species